UCGCAUCUGUGCAUGCAGCAUAUCAAUAAGCGGAGGAAAAGAAACUAACAAGGAUUCCCUUAGUAACGGCGAGUGAAGCGGGAAGAGCUCAAAUUUGAAAUCUUCAAGGUUUUACCUUGACGAAUUGUAGUUUAAAGAAGUGUUUUCUGUUGAAGUUUUGGUAAAAGUUCUUUGGAGUAGGACAUCAUAGAGGGUGAGAAUCCCGUAUUUGACCAUUAUUUUCAGUUGUGUGAUACACUUUCAAAGAGUCGGAUUGUUUGGGAAUGCAGUCCAAAAUGGGUGGUAAAUUUCAUCUAAAGCUAAAUAUUGGCGUGAGACCGAUAGCGAACAAGUACCGUGAGGGAAAGAUGAAAAGAACUUUGAAAAGAGAGUUAAACAGUACGUGAAAUUGUCAAAAGGGUAGCGUUUGACAGCCAGUGUUGUUUUCUCGAAAAUCAAUUAAAAAGAGUUUGAUUUUGUUGUGUAUUGACCUUAACAGCUUGCAUUUCAAUUUUCUUGCUUUUUUUAAUGCACUUUUCGUUUAACAAGUCAACAUCAGUUUCUUUUGUUGUAAAAAGGUCAUUGGAAGGUGGCUUUCUUUUCGGAGAAAGUGUUUAUAGCCUUUGACUCCUGCAAUCGGAGAGACUGAGGUCUGCAGCGUAGAUCCUUCGGGGUUGGAUACAUUUGUGCUAAGUUAUAGCUUUUUAUAGACAACUUGUUGACUAUGAUUAGUCUUGUAGCUUACUCGCUUAUGCUAUUUUACCUACGCUUAGGAUGUUGAUGUGAUACUGCGAGCA
rnacentral:rRNA from 1 species